GAUGCAGGAUACCCAGCGGGUAUUGGCAUAAAGAACUCGCUCAUUGCCCUAGGGGCCAUCAAUGCUCUGGGAAUGAUCUGUACCUUCUGUGUGCCAGAGUCCAAAGGAAAAUCCCUGGAGGAAGCAUCACAGGAAACUAUACCUGGAGAAAGUUGAGUUAUUCCGGGAGAGUCCCUUUCGACUCUUCAAAUUCUUGUUUGCUGAUUUUUAUAUGAUUCUUUCAACAACGUAUGUAUCAUACUCUCAAACUGAACACUAACAAGUUCAAACUUAUGAAAAAAUGGUACAACAACAAUAACAUACCAAGUAUUAUCCCGCACCGUGGGAGUCUGGGGAGGGUACUGUGUACGCAGACCUUAUCCCUACCUUGUGAAGAUAAAGAGGUUAUUUUCAAUAGGCCCUCGGCUCAGGAAGAAAACAAAUGGUAUUGAUGUUUUUACUAUUUUCUUACAUUUUCUUUAAUUUUGAAUAUGUUGGAAGUAUAUGUUUUUGAAAGGCAAAAUAGAUAUAUAGACACUCAAACUUGGUCACUAUUGUUAGUUUGACACUUAAACUUAUCCAAUAAUCAAAGACACUCAAUGUUAACAUAGGUGUGUCUCGUGAACAACUUGGACUGACAUGGCAAAUUAAGUGUUGAGCGCGUGAAACCCCUAAAAAUUAUGUUUUUCCUUUUUGUCAUUUUCCAAAACUAACAUCCGCCUUCAAAUUUCCACCAUCCUCCCCCCCCCCCCCCCNNNNNNNNNNNNNNNNNNNNNNNNNNNNNNNNNNNNNNNNNNNNNNNNNNNNNNNNNNNNNNNCUCCUAUUAUUGUCGAGUCCUUAUUCGCUUUCAUAGCAUUCAAUUCUUCGUUUCCUUAUUCUCUCCAUGAGACAUAUUUGUACGAAGUUAAAGUGUUUACUCAAUCAUUGGAUAAGUUUAAGUAUCAUAGUAACAAUCAGCAGCGAAUCUAAGAUUUUAAAGUCAUGGGUAUUCGUCGGAAAGAGUUUCGGAAAAAGACAGUAAAAGGAUUAAGUUAUAUAUGGGUGCUCACUUAUUACUUAUCUUAAUUUUUUGCUAAUUGCCUAUGUAAAUAUACUAAAUCCGAGUAAAGACAAUGAGUAAUUGAGCACCCAUAACUCUCUAUCUAGAUCCGCUAUUGCUAACAAUUAAGGAUAAGUUUAAGUGUUAACAUACAAAUACAAUACUACCCCUGAACAUAGCUUACAACUGUGCUCUCCAAAGAGCAACUUUGCCCUUGUCCGACACUGACUUGUCUGUAUAUUUUGCCAUUUCAAAAUGGAUGAUAGUGUAAUUAAAAACUUAACUAAAUAUAUUCUAUUAGAACCAGAGUUUCUUGCACUCACGUCAUACUUCAAGUGAUGCUGAUAACUGAUGUAUGAUAUAGAUAGCUGACUUUUGUUUGUCUCUAUUUUAUUUUUGAAUGAGAAGAUAACUUAUAAAAUUAGAGUAUAUAAAAAAAUUGCACAUACAAAAAACUUUGGAUAUCGCAUAUCUAUCUCCCUUUAUUUGGUUAGUGAAUAAAAAAGGAAGGGAAAUAAAAAAGAGAAAAUGUUCUUCUCAAAAAGCCGUACGAGCAUAAGUGGAAAGCAUUAGCUGAUUUGUUUAAAAAUAUAUUUCCUUUAGUAUCUAAAGAAAUAAGGAAUAACUAAUUUAGUUUUUUCCUUUUUUCAGAUUUAUUAAAAUAUUGUACUCCUUACGUACCACUACAUGUAGGAGAAUUAGACUAAGUAUGAAAUUUAAGAAAGAAAGAUUUAACAUGAAAGGUUAUAUUUCAGGAAAGCUUGAGCUUUUGGUCAAACAGUUUGUUGCUCAGGAUCCCAUCCACUUCUACUAGCUCCAUUAUUGUGCAAUAGUCUUUUAAUUCAUGGUUCAUAUGCUUAGUCAUAAGAAAUAAUUCAAAUGGAGUUCAUGAAUUUACGUAGAUCAGUUUAUGGGUUAAUCACUAAUGGAUUUUCAUAUUUGAAACACAUCGGAAAAGAUAGUGUAAGAAAAAUAAUAUAAAAAUGAUCGAAUUUCUGACACUGAAAAAAAUGAUGAGGUGCUCGAAAUGGUUGAAGUAGUUGAAUAGGAGGAUCACUAUGGCUAUAUAGCCCUGGGUAAGUUUACCAAAAAUGAAAAUAAUUUAUUUGAUAGUAUGAAUAACUGAUUACAGAGGGACCAUAAUUUCUUUUUUUAAAGAUUAAAGACACUGUUUUCCUCUUUCCCCAUUUGUGUCAAAUUCAUAUUUUCCACCAUCAUUAACCUCCCAGAACUUGUUUUUCUAGAUAGAUUAUAACUCACCCUUUUUAAUUAAAGGCAAUAAUUUUGGUUGUAGAAUUGCAAAACCAAAAAAAGANNNNNNNNNNNNNNNNNNNNNNNNNNNNNNNNNNNNNNNNNNNNNNNNNNNNNNNNNNNNNNNNNNNNNNAAAAAAAGACCCCCCCCCCCCCCCCCAACCCCUCCAAAUUUAAAGUUUAUGAAUUUCACACAAAUCCCAAGUUAACAUUAUAAUAAUCGAUGAAUUCGUAAUCGAAUAUCUAUAAUUAUUUAGUAAAUUUCUAACUAUAUAUUUGACAAAAAUUACUGAAUUCAUGUGAACUCUUAGCCGUCCCCAUUAACUCAAGAGAAACAGAAAGAGAAAUAGUUCUGGUAACAAUCUGUCGUGCUUUAAUUAGGAAAUAAAAGUUAUGGAUCAUCAUCCACGAGACUUCUACGUAAACAUGUAGAGAAAGGAGAAAAUAUUGAUCAGAGGAAAUGCUCUUAUCAAGAAAGAAGCUAAUAACACAGAGUAGAUGUCCGCAAUAAUGAGAUACAGUCAAACAUUUCUGUAACAAUAUCCUUAUAAUAGCUAUUCACUAUAAAAGACAUAUUUUUAUUUGAAUUGAUUUUAUAUUAUAUUAUAAUAUAUGUCAUCUUUAACAAAACUUCACUAUAACAGUCAGAAAAUAUCAAAACAAACAAGGUUGUUACAGAAAGAUUUGACUAUAUUCUCAAUGUCACUCUCUCGACAUGCAAAGGCUAGCAGCGCACGCCAAUGCAAAUAUCAACAAAUUGUCAAUUACCCCAAUUGCUUCAAGUCUCUGACUUUGGUUAUAAAUUAUUAAAUACUUGCAACGAAAGAGAUUGAACAGUUGGAAAUAAAUUAAAAUAAUAUAAGUCGUCUAUCCUGUUAAUCUUAAUCAAAGAAGUAAACGAUGCUUUAUUGCAAGUGAACCCAAGGCCAUUGUCAACUGUAAAAUAAAUAUUGAAGUAUUUACGAAUAUCAAGGCACAUAUCUUCGGAAUCGUUUGUAAUUUAUGUGCCAGAGUUUUGCAGAAAAUGUGCAGAUCUUUUUUGUAGCAUGCAGGAUCAUUUUGUCUAUAAAAGAGUUGCAAUAGCAAUUAUUGAAGUACUAACUGUUGUCUAACUCAAUCUCAAAAGUUAAUUUUUAAAAUGAAAAUUGUCUAAAUCCAUAUAUAUAUAAGGAGAACAAUUAUGCGUCCCACAAUCGAUCCGUGAGACUUUUAACACUGGUAUCCGGACGCUUAGGACUAGACCUCUAGAGCAUGAAUCAUAUUAAAAAAUGGACCUUAUACCUAACUGAAUACAGAAGCUAACUUUUGAAGUAGGUUGUCCAAAAUUAUAAUAACAAGACGAACUAUCCAUCUCCAAACCAACAUGAGACCUUGAAUAAAGUAAACUUUAGCCAAAUGAAGAGGUGUCAUAGAGUUUGUAAUAUUGGAGUGAAAUGAUAGUAUAUUCUCAGGUAACAUGAGUUAAAAUAGAUAUAUUUAAAGAAUUAAUUUUCGGUUACCUCGAGUGAAAUAUGAUUUCAAGAAUUAUUUUGAGGUAUGCGAGUGAAAUAAUUGGUAAUAGGCUUAGCUUGUUGUAUUCCCAGAAGAGCAUUCUGACCAUUGUCUACUAACCCCAUAGACAGACAUUCACUCAUUUGAGACAGUAAUCGGGAAAAAAUUAAAAAUAAACAGAUUUACAAUUGGUAAUUAAAAAAUAGCCGCAGUUUUAAAAAGUAAAUUGAGAUUUAGCAACUUUUUCAUGUAAAGAUAAAAUCUGAACAAAAACAUCCUUGAAACCCCGAAAAUAUUCCAACGUAAUAUGCUGGAGUUCAAAUUUUUUACAUAUGAGCUUCCAGUUUAAUGCGCUGGAAUUUCAUAAUGUGCCAAAGUUCCAACAUAAUAUGCAGGAAGUUUAUAUAUAAGAGUUCUAUAAUCCCGCAUAUUAUGUUGGAACUUUCCGUGUGCUGGAGUUCCAACAUAAUAUGCUGGAAGUUUAUAUGAGAAGUUCCAUAAUCCCGGAUGUUAUGCUGAAACUUUCCGUGUUUCAGCAAAAUAAUGACUAUUUUUCAAUAACUUUGCAAACUCAUACUGUUGCAAUAACACUGGCUAUUUUUUAAUUAUCAAUCUGAAUAUUGAUUAGCCCGUGCUAUUUUCACACAUCGUAUCACGCUCAAGCCUUCUUUCUAUAUUCUUGUCUCUUUCCGGUUUUGUGUAUCAGAAAUUUUCUAAUAAUAUGUACGAAACAGAAAUGAACAAAGGUACGGAAAAAGAAAAGAUUUGGUUGACUUCAUAGAUACAAUAUCAGAAGACUAUGUCUAACAUAAAGAUAAUGGUGUGCAUUAGUUUCAGAUGAUAAUUGACUACUUGCCAGCUUAUCACAGACAGCUUCAAACACCAUUACCUAUACUUAAAUGGAAAAAAUGCUAAUUUAGUUAUGACUAUCAAUCCAUAACUUAAAGUUAUAAGUUUGUUGACAUGAUACAAAAGUAUAUGCUGAUUAUAUUCUGGAGACUAUUCUGUUACAUCUGAAAUAGUAUUAGUGAGAUUACACUUAUAAAUAGUUGGCAUUUACCAAAGCUAAUCAUCAAUUCAUAUCUUUAUUUCAUUAGUUCUCUCCUAAAUUCAGAAGGUGCACAAUCUUCUGAAGAAGGUAAUUUCCAAUCAAAGAAACUUUAAGUAGUUUAGCAGUUUUGAUUUGGCAUUAGGAUUUUCUUGUUACUUUUCUUUAUUUUUUUCCUAAAUAUCACAUGCAAUAGACAUUCCCCCUACUGGGUUCACGUGAAUCCAAUCAAGCCUCUAGAUUGCUCCUGCAUUUCAAUACUCUGCAUCCUUAUUACUACAGAUUAAACUGUAAAAAUUGAGUCGUGGAAACAGCCUCUUGCAGAAAUGCAGGGUAAAAGGGCUACGUACAAUAGACCCUAAUAGUCCGGCAUAGCAGGAGCUUAAUGCACCGGGCCCUCCUUAUAAGCUGUAAAAAUUGACUAUGCUAGUCUGUAAUAAUUUUACCAUGCAUUUGGUUUCUCUUGUUUAUGUUAUUAAAGUGUUGCUAUUUUCAUUGAUAACUUCGAAAAGAUACAUAGUAGUAGCUAAAAUCAACUUUGAAUCCAAGUAUUAUUUUUCUACCUAAAAUUCAUUGACUCAAAAGAAAGUUUCAGUAAGUGUGAAGUUUGAAGUCUAAAAGAGUCAAGAUUAUACAAAGAAAUUACUCUUUUUAUGGUAAAUUCAAUUUAUUGAACUAAUGUUGUGUUUUAAAAUGCAGAUAAUUUUGAACUGUUGGAAUAAGAAGCAAUUUUAGCCAUGGCUGUUGAGGAUAAUAAUCUACAAGUGCUUAAUGCACUUGAUUUGGCCAAGACUCAACUUUACCAUUUCACAGCAAUUGUUAUUGCUGGAAUGGGAUUUUUCACUGAUGCCUAUGAUCUCUUCAGCAUUUCACUCGUAACCAAAUUACUCGGGCGUUUAUACUACACCAAGCCAGAGUUACUGAAGCCCGGAACACUCCCUCCGACCGUCUCAGCAUCAGUCACGGGUGUCGCGCUGGUCGGCACCCUCGCCGGCCAGCUUUUCUUCGGCUGGCUCGGUGACAAGAUGGGCCGAAAAACAGUCUAUGGUAUGACUUUGAUUAUCAUGGUUUUGUGCUCCAUUGCAUCAGGGCUCUCCUUGGAGUACUCCUAAGGGUGUCAUGGCCACUCUCUGUUUCUUCAGGUUUUGGCUUGGAUUUGGCAUCGGUGGCGAUUACCCUUUAUCUGCCACGAUUAUGUCCGAAUACGCAAACAAAAAACCCGUGGCGCUUUUAUUGCUGCUGUCUUUGCUAUGCAAGGUUUUGGAAUUUUGUUCAGUGGGAUAAUUGCACUUAUUGUGGCAGCUGGAUUUGAUCAUGCUUAUAAUGUCCCAACUUUCGAAGAGAAUGCAGCUCUUUCCACCGUGCCACAAUCCGACUAAGGUCGGCGUACGGCGAGGCAGAGGGAGGCCUAAGAGAUAUUGGGGAGGGAGGCCUAAGAGAUAUUGGGGAGAGGUGAUUAGGCAUGACAUGGCUAGAAUGCGGGUUUCCGAGGACAUGGCCAUUGAUAGGAAAGUCUGGAGGUCUAGUAUCAGGGUUGCAGGAUAGGGGCUCAAGAAAACUCGUGGCGCUUUUAUUGCUGCUGUCUUCGCUAUGCAAGGUUUUGGAAUUUUGUUCAGUGGGAUAAUUGCACUUAUUGUGUCAGCUGGAUUUGAUCAUGCUUAUAAUGUCCCAACUUUCCAAGAAAAUGCAGCCCUUUCCACCGUGCCACAAGCCGACUACAUUUGGCGUAUAAUUCUCAUGUUCGGAGCAUUACCAGCUGGCCUCACAUACUACUGGCAUAUGAAGAUGCCCGAAACAGCCCGAUACACAGCUCUCGUGGCUAAAGACGCGAAAAGAGCCGCACAGGACAUGGGGAGGGUACUACAAGUAGAAAUUGAUCCAGAGGAUGCAAAGAUCGAACAACUGUCUAGGGAUGAAACCAAUAAAUUUGGUCUAUUUUCUUGGGAAUUCGUUCGUCGCCACGGGCUGCACCUAUUCGGCACAUGUUCCACAUGGUUUUUGUUGGACAUUGCUUUCUAUAGCCAGAAUCUUUUCCAGAAAGAUGUGUUCAGUGCAAUUGGAUGGAUCCCAGCGGCCAAAACCAUGAACGCCGUUCAAGAAGUUUACAAGAUUGCAAGAGCACAAACCUUGAUUGCACUACUUAGUACAGUGCCAGGGUACUGGUUCACCGUAGCGUUCAUCGAUAUCAUUGGAAGGUUCGCGAUCCAAUUGAUGGGAUUCUUCUUCAUGACUGUAUUCAUGUUCGCCAUCGCCAUUCCCUACGGUCAUUGGACAUUGAAGGAGAACCAUAUCGGGUUCGUUGCAAUGUACUCCCUCACAUUCUUCUUCGCUAACUUUGGGCCAAAUGCAACCACAUUCGUGGUCCCGGCUGAGAUUUUCCCGGCCAGACUUCGAUCAACAUGUCAUGGUAUUUCUGCAGCUGCAGGUAAAGCUGGAGCUAUAGUAGGAGCAUACGGGUUCCUGUACGCUGCACAAAACAAAGAUCCAACGAAAACCGAUGCAGGAUACCCAGCGGGUAUUGGCAUAAAGAACUCGCUCAUUGCCCUAGGGGCCAUCAAUGCUCUGGGAAUGAUCUGUACCUUCUGUGUGCCAGAGUCCAAAGGAAAAUCCCUGGAGGAAGCAUCACAGGAAACUAUACCUGGAGAAAGUUGAGUUAUUCCGGGAGAGUCCCUUUCGACUCUUCAUAGACUCCUAGUGAUGGAUGUCGGUCUCUGGGUGAAGAGGAAGAAGAGGGGUGCUCGGGGACAGCC
rnacentral:lncRNA from 1 species